AUUGAACGCUGGCGGCAUGCUUUACACAUGCAAGUCGAACGGCAGCGCGGGCUUCGGCCUGGCGGCGAGUGGCGAACGGGUGAGUAAUACAUCGGAACGUGCCCAGUAGUGGGGGAUAGCUCGGCGAAAGCCGGAUUACUACCGCAUACGACCUGAGGGUGAAAGCGGGGGAUCUUCGGACCUCGCGCUAUUGGAGCGGCCGAUGGCGGAUUAGCUAGUUGGUGGGGUAAAGGCCUACCAAGGCGACGAUCGGUAGCUGGCCUGAGAGGACGACCAGCCACACUGGGACUGAGACACGGCCCAGACUCCUACGGGAGGCAGCAGUGGGGAAUUUUGGACAAUGGGCGAAAGCCUGAUCCAGCAAUGCCGCGUGUGUGAUGAAGGCCUUCGGGUUGUAAAGCACUUUUGGCGGGAACGAAAAGGACUGUGCCAAUACCACGGUUCGAUGACGGUACCCGCAGAAUAAGCACCGGCUAACUACGUG
rnacentral:rRNA from 1 species